rnacentral:rRNA from 1 species
UACGAAGGGGGCUAGCGUUGCUCGGAAUCACUGGGCGUAAAGGGUGCGUAGGCGGGUUUUUAAGUCAGGGGUGAAAUCCUGGAGCUCAACUCCAGAACUGCCUUUGAUACUGAAGAUCUCGAGUCCGGGAGAGUGAGUGGAACUGCGAGUGUAGAGGUGAAAUUCGUAGAUAUUCGCAAGAACACCAGUGGCGAAGGCGGCUCACUGGCCCGAUACUGACGCUGAGGCACGAAAGCGUGGGGAGCAAACAGG